rnacentral:pre_miRNA from 1 species
UUUAUAUGACGCCGUUGACUUUUAGGUCCACGUUUGAGCAUCCGUCUUAUUCAAAAAAAAUUAUAUAAUUAUUAAUUAUUUUGUUAUAAUAUUAUUUAUUAUUAUAGAGACUUUAAGUAUGCAUUAUAAUUUUACAUAUUUAGAUAUAAAUUUUAAAUAAGACGAAUGGUCAAACAUAAUCCGAAAAAUCAUCGGUGUCAUGACU